rnacentral:rRNA from 1 species
UACGAAGGGGGUUAGCGUUGCUCGGAAUCACUGGGCGUAAAGGGUGCGUAGGCGGGUCUUUAAGUCAGAGGUGAAAGCCUGGAGCUCAACUCCAGAACUGCCUUUGAUACUGAGGAUCUCGAGUUCGGGAGAGGUGAGUGGAACUGCGAGUGUAGAGGUGAAAUUCGUAGAUAUUCGCAAGAACACCAGUGGCGAAGGCGGCUCACUGGCCCGGUACUGACGCUGAGGUGCGAAAGCGUGGGGAGCAAACAGG